GAUGAACGCUGGCGGCGUGCCUAAUACAUGCAAGUAGAACGCUGAAGGAGGAGCUUGCUCUUCUGGAUGAGUUGCGAACGGGUGAGUAACGCGUAGGUAACCUGCCUGGUAGCGGGGGAUAACUAUUGGAAACGAUAGCUAAUACCGCAUGACAACAGUUAUUGCAUGAUAACUGUUUAAAAGGGGCAACUGCUCCACUACCAGAUGGACCUGCGUUGUAUUAGCUAGUUGGUGAGGUAACGGCUCACCAAGGCGACGAUACAUAGCCGACCUGAGAGGGGGAUCGGCCACACUGGGACUGAGACACGGCCCAGACUCCUACGGGAGGCAGCAGUAGGGAAUCUGCGGCAAUGGACGGAAGUCUGACCGAGCAACGCCGCGUGAGUGAAGAAGGUUUUCGGAUCGUAAAGCUCUGUUGUAAGAGAAGAACGAGUGUGAGAGUGGAAAGUGCACACUGUGACGGUAUCUUACCAGAAAGGGACGGCGAACUACGU
rnacentral:rRNA from 1 species